UACGUAGGGUGCAAGCGUUGUCCGGAAUUAUUGGGCGUAAAGAGCUCGUAGGCGGUUUGUCGCGUCUGCUGUGAAAACGCGAGGCUCAACCUCGCGCCUGCAGUAGGUACGGGCAGACUAGAGUGCGGUAGGGGAGAUUGGAAUUCCUGGUGUAGCGGUGGAAUGCGCAGAUAUCAGGAGGAACACCGAUGGCGAAGGCAGGUCUCUGGGCAUUAACUGACGCUGAGGAGCGAAAGCAUGGGGAGCGAACAGG
rnacentral:rRNA from 1 species